AGCUCCAAUAGCGUAUAUUAAAGUUGUUGCAGUUAAAAAGCUCGUAGUUGGAUUUCUGACAGGAGCGACCGGUCUCGAGCUUCAUGUUCGUUGCACUUGUGUCCGUCUCUAGUCAUCCUUAUGGAGAACGUGUGUGUCAUUAAGUUGACGUGCAUGGGAACCAUAUCGUUUACUGUGAAAAAAUUAGAGUGUUUAAAGCAGGCAAUCGCUGUGAAUACAUUAGCAUGGAAUAAUAAGAUAGGACUUUGGUACUAUUUUGUUGGUUUGCAUACCAAGGUAAUGAUUAAGAGGGACAGUUGGGGGUAUUCGUAUUUACAUGUCAGAGGUGAAAUUCUUGGAUUUUGGAAAGACGAACUACUGCGAAAGCAUUUACCAAGGAUGUUUUCAUUAAUCAAGAACG
rnacentral:rRNA from 1 species